rnacentral:rRNA from 1 species
CCUACGGGUGGCAGCAGUGGGGAAUAUUGGGCAAUGGGCGCAAGCCUGAUCCAGCAACGCCGCGUGUAGGAUGAAGGCCCUCGGGUUGUAAACCUCUUUUAUCAAGGACGAAACAAAUGACGCUACUUCCUGAAUAAGCUACGGUUAACUACAGGCUAGCAGCCGCGGUAAUACGUAGGUGGCAUGCGUUAUCCGGAUUUACUGGGUGUAAAGGGCGUGUAGGCUGGACUGCAAGUCAGAUGUGAAUAUCAUGGGAUGAACCGAUGGCCUGCAUUUGCGACUGUAAGUCUUGAGUGUUGGAGAGGCAGGCGGAAUGCCGGGUGUAGCGGUGAAAUGCGUAGAUAUACGGAGGAACACCAAUGGCGAAGGCAGCCUGCUGAACAAUAACUGACGCUGAUGCGCGAAAGCGUGGGGAGCAAACAGGAUUAGAUACCCCUGUAGUC